UUUGAAAUCUCCGACGCUUGCGUCGGCGAAUUGUAGUUGCGAGAAGCACUUUCUAGGCGGAUCGGUCGUGCCUAAGUUGCUUGGAACAGUACGUCAUAGAGGGUGACAACCCCGUCUGUGGCUCGGCCGGCCGCUCACGAUGUGCUUUCGAAGAGUCGGGUUGUUCGGGAAUGCAGCCCAAAAAUGGUGGUAAACUCCAUCUAAAGCUAAAUACUGACGUGAGACCGAUAGCGAACAAGUACCGUGAGGGAAAGAUGAAAAGAACUUUGAAAAGAGAGUUAAAAAGUACGUGAAACCGUUUGAAGGGAAACGAAUGGACUCAGCAAUGCGCCCUUUGAGAUUCAGCCGGGCGGUUGUGGCGGUCCGGGGCUUGCGGAUCUGAAUGGACCGCGGUCUCGGGCCCGUCGCUUCCGACCGUCGCACUUCUCUUGGACGCGAGUCAACGUCGGUUGGGACUGGGCCUCAAAGGUCCCGGGAAGGUAGGUCCGGACGCUCGCGUUCGGACUGUUACAGCCCGGUUCUCUCGCGGCUCGGGCCCGACCGAGGCGGAUGCAGCACAUGCCUCUUCUGGCUAGGGUCCCGUCCUUCCGGCCGGUUGUCGAAUGCGGUGGACUGCUUGCAGUGCUCUGCGACUGCUGCCGGUCGUUGGGGUGGUGAUCUCGUACCAUG
rnacentral:rRNA from 1 species